UGGGGUGUAGCCAAGCGGUAAGGCACCUGACUCUGACUCAGGCAUCCGGGGUUCAAAUCCCUGCUCCCCAG
rnacentral:tRNA from 1 species